GACGAACGCUGGCGGUGUGCUUAACACAUGCAAGUCGAACGGUAAGGCCCUUUCGGGGGUACACGAGUGGCGAACGGGUGAGUAACACGUGAGUAACCUGCCCUCAUCUCUGGGAUAACAGUCGGAAACGGUUGCUAAUACUGGAUAUGAGCUUGCAAGGCAUCUUGUGGGUUGGAAAGAUUUUUUUUGGUUGGGGAUGGACUCGCGGCCUAUCAGCUUGUUGGUGAGGUAGUGGCUCACCAAGGCUUCGACGGGUAGCCGGCCUGAGAGGGCGACCGGCCACAUUGGGACUGAGAUACGGCCCAAACUCCUACGGGAGGCAGCAGUGGGGAAUAUCGCACAAUGGACGGAAGUCUGAUGCAGCAACGCCGCGUGCGGGAUGACGGCCUUCGGGUUGUAAACCGCUUUCAAUUGUGACGAAGCUUUUUUGUGACGGUAGCAGUAGAAGAAGCACCGGCUAACUACGUG
rnacentral:rRNA from 1 species